UCAUUAUUUGAUUUUAUCCAAAUUCAUGAUGAUGUUAAAAUUUUAUCUCUUUUUAUUUUAUUUUAUCAAAACCCAGUAUAUACAUUAUAAGUAUCCACUAUUUUAUGUUAAAAUUUACUCUCUUUUUUCCUUCUAUUAUUUUAUCCAAUGUCCAAACUCAUUACAAAUAUAUAUAUUCAACUGACCAUAAAAUAAAAAUAUAACAUAUACCAAUUCGUUAUGAAUUUAUGUAUUUGUGAACAUUCUCCCGCGCUGUAGCGCGGGUCCGGUCCUAGUUUCCGUUUAUGAGGCUAACUUUGCAUCGAGUUUGCAAGAAGUAAUACCAUCCCUUAUCACAAAAAUGGCUACGGCUCUCUCCAUUUCUCCUGGUCAGUUCUCCCUGUUAGCGUGGAGAGUACUGAUGGCUACUCAAGCCCUUGGAGAGUUUUACUCACUUGAAAUAGGAGUAGAUGAGAUUAUGUAUGCAUACUACUUUCUCCACUUGCAGACGACAUUGGUAUGUACUCUAUACACUCGUGACGCCCUAAUCGGUUGGUGUUUGAUCUUGAGUUAACUGAAAGAAGGAAGCUUGAAGGGUCCUGGUGACAAAGAUAUUUGUAUAUGAGGGUUGGUUAUAACCCAGGGUUUCCCACUGCUUGGUAUGACGCUGACGUCCGUACUAACAACCGUAUAGAAGGAGAAGCAACAAUCUCCAGACUGCUACUUCACGAUGUCAAACACCGCUGCAUCACCUUUCUUACUAGUGAAUUCGUUCUUGAGGAGUGAAGUUUUUGGGGAUUUGAUAUGUCGAGUGAUCAACAUCAUUAUGUGUCUGAUAAAUUUGCCUCUUUCCUUGCUGCUCGCGGAAAAAUUACUCGGGCGAAACAUACACCAGCUGGUUUGUCUCAUGACGUGGAAUGCGUUGAAAUAUCUGUUGCGAGCAAGUGUAAGACUUCUCAGGACAUUGCAUCAUUGUCGUCACUGAGACGAGGUAGACUGACCCAUGACAGUGCCCCCUCAACUGCGAUGGUUCCUUGUCGAGAGAUAGUGACCAACACUGACACUUAUUUGGUCAUUGAAGAGCUGAAGGCUAAAGUGUUUUCUCAUGACUUUGAGUCUCUAGAAGCUGAUGGGACUGCCACCAUCGCCAGCAUAGUUUACAAUGACCUUGUCCAGGCGAUGUCAUCGUACCAUCUUAUGGAAAUAAAGUUGUCAUCCACUAUUGUUGAAGUCGCCCACUAACGACAGUCAAUUGAUUCCCUCAAGCAACAACUUGAUCUCGAGAAGAAAGAAUCUUGUUCUGGCGUCGCAAAG